rnacentral:rRNA from 1 species
AGAGUUUGAUCCUGGCUCAGGACGAACGCUGGCGGCGUGCUUAAUACAUGCAAGUCGAGCGAGGUUACUGUUUUGGAUCCCUUUGGGGUGAAGAAGCUUUAACCUAGCGGCGGACGGGUGAGUAACGCGUGGGUAACCUACCCCAAAGUCCGGGAUAACAGCGGGAAACCGCUGCUAAUACCGGAUGCCUUUACCUUGGGGCAUCUUGAGGUAAAGAAAGGUAACGCUUUGGGAUGGGCCCGCGUCCCAUUAGCUAGUUGGUGAGGUAACGGCUCACCAAGGCGACGAUGGGUAGCCGGCCUGAGAGGGUGGACGGCCACACUGGGACUGAGACACGGCCCAGACUCCUACGGGAGGCAGCAGUAGGGAAUAUUGCGCAAUGGACGGAAGUCUGACGCAGCGACGCCGCGUGAGCGAUGAAGGUCUUCGGAUCGUAAAGCUCUGUCCUUGGGGAAGAAGGCGAAAGCUUGACGGUACCCAAGAAGAAAGCCCCGGCUAACUACGUGCCAGCAGCCGCGGUAAU